CGUGCAAGUCGUCUUGUCGCUCCGAUAGUAUCGGGGAGGAAAGUCCGGGCAACAAAGAGCACCAUACUUCCUAACGGGAAGGGCUUUGACUGGUGACGGUCAAGGUACAGCUAGUGCCACAGAAAACAAACCACCAUUGGUUCUAAACAAGCUUCGCUUGUGUUGACCCAGAGGAAAGGGUGAAAAGGUGGGGUAAGAGCCCACCGCCUCUGCAGUGAUGAAGAGGGCAUGGCAAACCUUAUGGGUUGAAAGAUCAAAUAGGCCUCGGGCAAAGAGCUGCUCGUUCGAUAUCUUUUCUUUUGAAAAGAAUUCCGAGGUGGGUAGAUCGAUUGAGUCUUGAUGCAAAUCAAGAUCUAGAUAAAUGACAAGAGCAGAGUUCAAUAUCGAUUUGUUCGAACGAACUUUGUAACAGAACCCGGCUUACAGACUUGCACUUUUU
rnacentral:RNase_P_RNA from 1 species